rnacentral:ribozyme from 1 species
UUUAUUUUUUCUUACUUCUUUUUUUUUCUAUUUCUUUGAUGGUCAUCGUUCCUGGAGUUUUCAGAUAGACAUUGGAGAAAGUACGAGC